UAACACUUGAAGUGCAGAGGAUG
rnacentral:piRNA from 1 species